rnacentral:tRNA from 1 species
AUUUAAAUAGCUCAUAUAUAGAGUAUAGCACUGAAGAUGCUAGGGAGGUUAUGUAACCUUUAAAUA